rnacentral:ncRNA from 2 species
UCGUUUCCUAAGGGGCGGCCGUGGAAUAGGCCUGAGAUGCACCCUUUGAACCUGAUCCGGAUUAUGCCGGCGUAGGAAUAGGACUAGUAGCUCGU